rnacentral:rRNA from 1 species
CGCGUGGGUAACCUGCCCUAAAAUCUGGGAUAACUCUGCGAAAGUGGUGCUAAUACCGGAUAUGGUUUCGAAGACUGUGGUUUUCGAGAUUAAAGGUGACCUCUUUAUAAAAGUUGCCGUUAUAGGAUGGGCCCGCGUACCAUUAGCUUGUUGGUAGGGUAAUGGCCUACCAAGGCUGCGAUGGUUAGCUGGUCUGAGAGGAUGAUCAGCCACACUGGAACUGAAACACGGUCCAGACUCCUACGGGAGGCAGCAGUGAGGAGUUUUGCGCAAUGGGGGAAACCCUGACGCAGCAACGCCGCGUGAGCGAAGAAGGCCUUCGGGUCGUAAAGCUCUGUCAAGUGGGAAAAACGUGUCCCGGUCAAUAGCCGGGAGAUCUGAUGGUACCACUGGAGGAAGCACCGGCUAACUCCGUGCCAGCAGCCGCGGUAAUACGGAGGGUGCAAGCGUUGUUCGGAAUUAUUGGGCGUAAAGAGCGUGUAGGCGGUUUAGCAAGUCAGAUGUGAAAGCCCUGGGCUUAACCCGGGAAGUGCAUUUGAAACUGCUUUACUUGAGUAUGGGAGAGGAGAGUGGAAUUCCUGGUGUAGAGGUGAAAUACGUAGAUAUCAGGAGGAACAUCUGUGGCGAAGGCGACUCUCUGGACCAAUACUGACGCUGAGACGCGAAAGCGUGGGUAGCAAACAGGAUUAGAUACCCUGGUAGUCCACGCCGUAAACGAUGAGAACUAGGUGUAGCGGGUAUUGACCCCUGCUGUGCCGAAGUUAACGCAUUAAGUUCUCCGCCUGGGGAGUACGGCCGCAAGGCUAAAACUCAAAGGAAUUGACGGGGGCCCGCACAAGCGGUGGAGCAUGUGGUUUAAUUCGACGCAACGCGAAGAACCUUACCUGGGUUUGACAUCCUUUGACCGCCAUGGAAACAUGGUUUUCCUGACUUGUCAGGACAGAGUGACAGGUGCUGCAUGGCUGUCGUCAGCUCGUGUCGUGAGAUGUUGGGUUAAGUCCCGCAACGAGCGUAACCCUUUGUCUUUAGUUGCCAAUAUUAAGUUAGGAACUCUAAAGAGACUGCCUCGGUUAACGGGGAGGAAGGUGGGGAUGACGUCAAGUCCUCAUGGCCUUUAUACCCAGGGCUACACACGUGCUACAAUGGGCUGUACAAUGGGUUGCGAUACCGCGAGGUGGAGCUAAUCCCAAAAAGCAGUUCUCAGUUCGGAUUGAAGUCUGCAACUCGACUUCAUGAAGGUGGAAUCGCUAGUAAUCGUGGAUCAGCAUGCCACGGUGAAUACGUUCCCGGGCCUU